GCUUAUGAAGGUCUGAUGAAGACGAGGGACGCAGAGUUGGAAUCUACACACCGUCAGUUGGUAGGGUCUCGUGAGGACCUGAAGGAUGCCAAAGCGUGCGCCCCGGAAACACGAGGAGGAGCGUGGCCAUAUUCAAGCAGAAGUACGCUGUUGCCAUAGAGAAGAUGCAGCAGUGUUCAGGGCCAGGCGGACUGCAUGGAGGAGGAGCUGUGCUAUUCACAGCAGCAGCUAAGAGACUCCCUCUUAGUAACGAGUGCAGCCAAGGCACAGCUUGGCCGAGCUGGAUGGGCAGUACCGGGAGAUGUUCAGCCAAUGGGAGCACUCAAAAGAGGCCCAGGCCCAGCUGACGGACGAGCUGCAAGCCAAUCAGAGUCAGCUGAGAGAGAGCCAGGCCAAAGUGUGCCUGAGUGAGGGCCUCGUUGUGGCAUUGAACAAACAGGUGGACGAUCUGAAACAACCAGACGUCGAUGUGUGAGCGAGAGCUAAUCCUGCACAGGCAGACUCAUUCUCACCCAGACCGGAGCACCUCAGCCUUCUGUCUGACAACCAGCAGCUGCAGAAGGUAAAGCCACAGCAAUCGCAGGAUUCAUUUAGAUUCAAAGCAGUGUUCCCGUUUUCUGCAAGCUUUUUGCAGCCGGGACUCAAGCGAGGAACUACUGCAAAUUCCCAGUGAAUGAAUUCCGACCCUGACACAUCACCCGUAUCAUUCAUGCCAUACAUGUAUGUUGUAGACGGGUGCCAUACUUUACUCGCCAAAGUACAUUCAGUUGUUGGGCAGAACUAGCUAAACAGUUUCCAAAAACGUGUGUCUGUAUUUUCCUUUUCCAAUAAAUAUAUUCCAGUACAAUUUUCCUGUUUGACUAGUUUUGUUUGUGUAAGUGUGUGUGUGUGCGUGGGUGUGUGCGUGUGUUUGUAUUUGAGCCAUGUGCCUCUAUGUUUCAGCGCUGCUCUGACCAAGUGCAACAUCUGGCGGAGGCUGAGAGAGCUAUCCUUCAGAUAAGGACUAAGCUGGAGACACAGUCGAAGGAGAAAGCCGAGGUGGAGCGAGGUCUGGUCGAGGCCCACCACAACCACCUGACCACUUGCAGACAGCAGGAACAGGAAGUGACCAAGCUUGAAAAGGAAGUGACACGCUUGAAGCUGGAGCUCACUGACAGCCAGAGAAACAGGGCCCACCAGGAGCAGAUGUUGGAGGAGCUCCAGCGGGUGUCGGCGGAGCCGCUGAGGGCGGCCCGGCAGGAGGCAGAGCGGCUGGGCCUGGAGGCCGAGGCGGGCCGGGCGGAGGUCCAGAGGCUCCAGGAGGCCCUGCAGAGGGGGGAGGGCGCAGCCCAGGAGAGCCAGGGACUGAGGGCCCGCGCCAGGCAGCUGACCAAGGAGCUGGAGGAGCUGCGAGGCCAGCACCGACAGACAGGUGCGAGACAGCUGCCUGCCCCCCCAACGGUGACACAGAUCCAUCGAUCCAUCGAUAGAUUGAUCAAUCCGUUGGUCGAUCGACCCCUUUGAUCGACACAACAAGUCAUUAAAAUCUGCAAAUUAAACAAGUCGAUUGUUUCUAAAUUCAAUCAAUUAGUGAAUCGAACAAUCAAUCGAUCAAUAAGUUGUGUCACCAAACUCAUCCUUCAAAUCAGUGAAUAAAACAGGUCGAUAGUUUCCCAAAUUUCUCAAGUCAAUCAAUUGGUCGAUUGAUAAAUCAAUCAUCAAUCAGGUGUGCCAACAAACAAAUCAAUAUAGAUCAAUACAUCAAAGAGAUCAAUAGUUAGUUCAAUCAAUCUAUGUGUCACUCGCACUUCCGAUGAAUAAAGCUUUUAUUAUUUUAUUCAACCAAACUCUAUCUCUACAGAUGGCCGUUACUGCAUACUACUGUAUAUAUAGACAUACCAACAGUGUGUGUGUGAGCAGUUAUUUCUUCUGCCAUCUGAUGAUGUUCGAGUGUGGGUCGUAAAGGAGUUGAAGUGCUCCAUUACUCACUUGUUAUGUACCAUUCACCGCUACUCAUUACCAAGCGCCAUCCGCUACAUAUGCGUACGACUGCGGGAGCGGGCUCGCAAAUAGCUUCACCGUACUGGCUCAGCACUGAAAUAUACAGUUGGUAAAAAAUAAAAAAACCAAAAAAUACAUAUGAAGAAAUAAACAAGCUGGAACUUCGAAAAAAGCAAUGACCUAGCUUAAAGCAGCAACACGUGUAAAUGUCUUCAAGAGUUCUGCCUCAAUCCCCGACGCCAUGUCUUUGGGUUCGGGGGUUCAAAACCACCGGGACGGCGCUAAGACAAAGAGUGUCCCCACAGCGGGCCUCUCAAGUGACAAAGUGACCACGAGAUACGUUCUGGAUGCUCUUCAAAUAGAGGACCACUUGUCCCUUGUGAUAUGUGUGUUUUUUAUUGUUUUUGCCCCCCCCCCCCCCCCCGCAAACACACACACACACGAGUUCUUCUCAUCUGUGAGCUAUUAAAAGAAUCCUCUGUGAACUUUUAGCCGCAGUGUCCCCUCCGUUAGUGGCCAUGCUAGCCGUGAACGUACAGUAAGCCCUGCCUUUUGUCCCCGCAAUCACGCGCCCGUUGCUGGUUGUGAUCAACGGUUAGCUCCAAUUGGCCAGCCAGAGUACGGCGGUAACAGCGAUACACUCACUGGGUUCGCUGUAUGUCUACACAGCGGCGUACACCCAGACAUGCGCGCAAAAAGAGCUUUGAUUUAAUGGUUUGGCGUCUGAGCUCUGUAGUAAUGAUGUAGCGUGCACGCGCCUGUGUGUGUGUGUGUGUGUAUCAUAGACUUAUAAUAGUGUGCGUGUGUGUCUGUGUUUUGCAGGCAGGAAUUCACGUGAGUUUGUGUUUGUGUGAGUGUAUGUGUAUGUAUCAUAGACUUGUGUGUGUGUGUUCGUUCGUGUUUUCAAGCAGGCAUAUACCUGUCCAGGCGAAUGUUUGUGUGUGCGUGUGUGUGUAUGUAUGUUUCCAGGCAGGCAUAUACUGUAUAUGUGCAUGUGUAUGUGUGUGUGUGUGUGUGUGUGUGUGUGUGGGUAUGCGUGUUUCCAGGCAGGAAUAUAUUGUGUGUGUAAUGUGUAUGUGUUAGUGUUCUUUAUGGUGCGUGUGUGUUCCUGUGUGUGUGUCUGUGUGUGUGCGUCUGCGGCAGCAACAGCGGACGAUGGCCAGGUCUCUCUGGGUACCAGAAAUGUCUCAUUAAGAAUUAACGUACACAUCCGCGGUCACUCCGAGGGUGGCCCUCACCGACACCCGUGCGCAACCUUUUCUUCUGCUCCCGCUGCCUUAAUUAGCGCACACACUCUCCAAGGUACAGCCGCACACUCUCGCGCACACACACACACACAAUCACCUAUUGUCCGCAGAGAGAUGAAUCUGAGGUCUCGCCAAGGCAGACAGUGGCUGACUUGCUCGCUGAACAUUGCUCAUUAACAAGAUAGAGACAGCGCGGUGUAGCCUGGCCUUUGUCUGUGAUUAAAACACACACGCGAAUGCACCCACACACGACACACACACACACCGAGGCACCGCGCGCACACGGACACCACACACACACACCACACACACACACACACACACACACACACACACACACACACACACACACACCCCACACACACACACACACCACACACAAAGCUGCGGAAUACACUACCCCGACGCUUCACACAAAUCCUGCCAUUAUUCCACUCUUACCUCCUGCAAAU
ensembl:lncRNA